AAGGUGAUGCCUGCCCAGUGACCUAGUGUUAAACGGCCGCGGUAUCCUAACCGUGCAAAGGUAGCGCAAUCAAUUGCCUCGUAAAUUGAGGCCUGUAUGAAUGGCUAAACGAGGUCUUAACUGUCUCUUACAGGCGAUCGGUGAAAUUGAUCUCCCUGUGCAAAAGCAGGGAUAAACACAUAAGACGAGAAGACCCUGUGGAACUUCAAAAUCAGCAACCACCCUUAAACACAUCAACACCCACUGGGUACACGAACCUAUAAGGUGCUGGUCUGCAUUUUUCGGUUGGGGCGACCUUGGAGAAAAACAGAUCCUCCAAAGAUUAGACCAAACAUCUAGACCAAGAGCAACCCCUCAACGUGCUAAUAGCACCCAGACCCAAUAUAAUUGAUCAAUGGACCAAGCUACCCCAGGGAUAACAGCGCAAUCUCCUCCGAGAGUCCGUAUCGACGAGGGGGUUUACGACCUCGAUGUUGGAUCAGGACAUCCUAGUGGUGCAGCCGCUACUAAGGGUUCG
rnacentral:rRNA from 1 species